UGCAGAUGGCAAUAAACUGUGUAGGAGUUCAUGAUUGCAAUAGAAUAAAAUCGACCAAGUCUGAAGUCAGCAGCCCCUUCAAUGAAUGCAGCAGUGUGACAGCCAACAAUCAAAAGUUACAAGAUAUCGAGGAAAUGCAGAAGGCAAAAAACUGCGUAGGAGAUCAUUAAUACAAAAGUAUUAUAUAAACCAAACCUGAUGUUGCCAGCUCCUUCAAUGAAUGCAGCAGUGUGACAGCCAGCAAUCAAAAGUAACAAGAUGUCGAGGAAAUGCAGAAGGCAAAAAACUGCGUAGGAGAUCAUU
rnacentral:lncRNA from 1 species